UUAAAGCAGGACUAGAAGAAUCAGACGUGUGCGCUGACUAAACGAGCUAAAAAUAUUCCACUCCGUGCGAACCUGAUGAACAGAGGACCCUGGUGCAAGAAUGUGUUUUACCCACUCCCCAGCCACAGGGCAGCCAUGACUGAGUACCAACAAAACUGACGUGGCCGGGCAGACGUGGUUCCCAGAAGACCAGGGGUUAACUGUGUGAUGGGAGACAAUGGCUGAGAGUAUAGCAUUUGCAGCACUCAGAUUUCAACCAUCCACCAGCCAUUAUACAUUUAAGGUUUUACUUUAACCGCUGCACAUCACAUAGUUCAUGAAAAUAAAAUAUCCCAUCUGGCACAGGACCGUCUCCAACUCCAAGUCAGCACAGGCCCUGGCCAGUGAGUCUGAAAUGUCACUGCAGUGCAAUCUACUGCAACAACACCUGUUUCUGCUUCCCAACAAUACAUACCAAAAAAAACACAAACAUAAAUAUUUUCAGCAAUGCUCCUUCUGUUGCUAUAGGUCCCUCUAUCCCUCGGGCCGUGGUGCAGUGGCACCGUCAGUAGUUAUGCCACUGAUUCUACUUUUGUGUGAGACAACGUGGAUUUGGUAUAAAUAUAUAAGGAAUUAUAUGUUACAUCCCAUGUUCAAAUACUUGUAACUUUUGAAUGUGUCAGUUUUCCUGAAUUUUGGUGGUUUACUUCUGUCUUGAAGCCAUGAAUAAAACCAUGUAAUUCAUUUAAGAUGCAAAAA